GAUGAACGCUGGCGGCGUGCCUAAUACAUGCAAGUCGAGCGAACAGACGAGGAGCUUGCUCCUCUGACGUUAGCGGCGGACGGGUGAGUAACACGUGGAUAACCUACCUAUAAGACUGGGAUAACUUCGGGAAACCGGAGCUAAUACCGGAUAAUAUAUUGAACCGCAUGGUUCAAUAGUGAAAGACGGUUUUGCUGUCACUUAUAGAUGGAUCCGCGCCGCAUUAGCUAGUUGGUAAGGUAACGGCUUACCAAGGCAACGAUGCGUAGCCGACCUGAGAGGGUGAUCGGCCACACUGGAACUGAGACUCGGUCCAGACUCCUACGGGAGGCAGCAGUAGGGAAUCUUCCGCAAUGGGCGAAAGCCUGACGGAGCAACGGCGCGUGAGUGAUGAAGGUCUUCGGAUCGUAAAACUCUGUUAUUAGGGAAGAACAAAUGUGUAAGUAACUAUGCACGUCUUGACGGUACCUAAUCAGAAAGCCACGGCUAACUACGUG
rnacentral:rRNA from 1 species